CAAAGAUUAAGCCAUGCAUGUGAAGCUGCCCGCUAUGUGUCGCAGGA
rnacentral:misc_RNA from 1 species